UGGGGAAUAUUGCACAAUGGGCGCAAGCCUGAUGCAGCCAUGCCGCGUGUAUGAAGAAGGCCUUCGGGUUGUAAAGUACUUUCAGCGGGGAGGAAGGGAGUAAAGUUAAUACCUUUGCUCAUUGACGUUACCCGCAGAAGAAGCACCGGCUAACUCCGUGCCAGCAGCCGCGGUAAUACGGAGGGUGCAAGCGUUAAUCGGAAUUACUGGGCGUAAAGCGCACGCAGGCGGUUUGUUAAGUCAGAUGUGAAAUCCCCGGGCUCAACCUGGGAACUGCAUCUGAUACUGGUCAGCUAGAGUCUUGUAGAGGGGGGUAGAAUUCCAUGUGUAGCGGUGAAAUGCGUAGAGAUCUGGAGGAAUACCGGUGGCGAAGGCGGCCCCCUGGACGAAGACUGACGCUCAGGUGCGAAAGCGUGGGGAGCAAACAGG
rnacentral:rRNA from 1 species